CCCUUAGAUGUUCUGGGCCGCACGCGCGCUACACUGAUGCAUUCAACAAGCCUAGCCUUGACCGAGAGGUCCGGGUAAUCUUUGAAACUGCAUCGUGAUGGGGCUAGAUUAUUGCAAUUAUUAAUCUUCGACGAGGAAUGCCUAGUAAGCGUGAUUCAUCAAAUCGCGUUGAUUACGUCCCUGCCCUUUGUACACACCGCCCGUCGCUCCUACCGAUUGAAUGUGUUGGUGAGGAGCUCGGAUUGGCAGCAGUUGGUGGUUCGCCACCGGCUAUUGCUGAGAAGUCCUCCAAACCGCCCCAUUUAGAGGAAGGAGAAGUCGUAACA
rnacentral:rRNA from 1 species